ensembl:misc_RNA Metazoa_SRP Metazoan signal recognition particle RNA
GCCGGGUGUGGUGGUACGCACCUGUAGUCUCAGCUACUUGAGAGGCUGAGGCAGGGGGAUCUCUUGAGCCCAGGUGUUUGAGGCUGCAGUGAGCUAGGAUCACACCACUGCUCUCCAGCCUGGGCUACAAAGUGAAACUCUGUCUCUA